rnacentral:tRNA from 1 species
UCCCUCUUAGCUCAGUGGUAGAGCGCGUCACUAGUAAUAAGAAUACAUGACGAGGUCAGUCGUUCAAGUCGGCUAGAGGGAA